GGCCAGAUAGCACAGCAGUUAGUGCACGGAUGCUUGAUCAAGGUUCAAGCAAUAUUCAGACCGCUGCCCUUGUUCGACUCGGGGUCUGGCCU